UUAUGUCUUGCUAUAAUCUCCCACUCCUCCAUAAAAGUUUAGUUCAGUGUUUUAUCUCGUUUUGUGUUUUUGUUAUCAAUAAUAAAAAAAUCUUAAUUAUUAUACCAUUGCUUCUCUAAAAUUAAACUUUUUGAGCUAUUAGUCGUCGAUAAAUUGAAAAGACAGUAAUUAGACAUUUUAAUAGCAUUAUUUGGAAUUGUUUGCCAAUAACUUUAGAUCCAAAAAAUUCAUGAAUAAUUUGGUUCAUUAAUAAAGUAGGAGAAAAUUUUUAAAAAUGUUGGCCUGUAACUGUUUAAAUAUAUCUAUCCAACUAGGUAGCGAUAUUGAAAAGGUCACAAAAGAAUCGCUUGCUCUUUCAGAAGAGGAAAAAGGUGACAUUUUUUUUAAGCAAAAUGUUUUUUAUAAAAGCAGAUUAAUAAGUGUGGAUAAAAAAUAUUCAGGAUUAGUUAACACAAGAAAAAUUGGAUUCUGGAUUAUAAACCAUUGUCUCAAUUGUGAUAUUCACACUCACGCUGUUCACCUAGAAAAAGGUGCAGGCCUUGUUUUGAUGUAUCCCAAACUUUUGGAUGCUGAAGCUGUCAAGAAUAUCAGACUUGGAGAUUCAUUCUCAACAGUUUUUCAAAUAGUUGUUAAUCCCAUAGAGCUAGGACCAGAUAACCCACCAUUUGAAGCAUAUCGCAAUAGAGAUCUCGAUAACAUUGUAAAAAGCCUUAAUGAGUUGGUAACAAAUUAUGUAAAAAAUGAAGAAAGCGCAGUGGAAGAGAGAAUAAGGAAGUUUGCUAGUGAACAGUAUCAAGCUCUAAACAUUGCUAAGGAGAGAGUUGAGAAGGAACGGGAAGCUUUAGUAAACAUCUUAGUCACUGCGGUUCGAGGCACAAAUGGCAAUGAAAAUGAGCAACCAAUCAUGUCUCCCAAAAGUAUUAUGAGAUCUUCCAGUAAAACUUCCACCAGUAAUAAAUUUUCUGGACCAGCAAGCCCCGCGGUGGCUCCUUUGUCGCCUAAGAGACAAAAGAACAAUCCAGCUAUUAAACCCAAAGGACCAGAAGAUGAUUUGAUUUUUGAAUUUGAAGCUGAUGAAUUUACAAAUUAUUCAAAAUCUGGAAUGUCGUUUGAUGGAGCAAAUAGUGAUGAAUCUGAGGAUGAAGAUGGUAACAUAAACACUGUAGAAGGGAGUGACCUACAAGGUAUUAGCAUUCGCCAACAGAAACAGCCAGGGCAGACAAUUGCAAAGUCAUGUCCUGUGGACAUACCAAAUUUUGGUCUAAACACUAGAAUCAAAACGCAAUAUGAGGCGUCAGAAGAUUCAGAUUUUUCCCCUGGUGAACAGCAAAUUGACAUAGCAGCUAGCAUCAAGGCUCUAGCAAACAGUGUUCAUGGUGACAGUAUUUUUGGAGAGCUACCCAGACCCAGAUUCAGUACGCAGAUCUGAUAAUUUUGAGGCCAUGAGGUGAUCACAGCAGCUACAGUGUCUUUUUGUUAUGUGUACAAAUAAUACAAGAUUAUGUUUAUGUGUUAGGCUAAAACGGCUCAGUCAGAGACAUUAAGUUUAUUCGGUAAGGGAUGCCAUAAUUUCAGAUAUAAUCUGUUAUUUCCAACAGCUAAUAUAGACAAAUAUUCUCAC